UAUUUCUUUUGCUUCUUCUGUUUGAUAACUUGUAAAAGCUUACGGCUUUUCUGAUGUUUGGUUACCCUUCUUCUCCCCUUUCCCCUUCCCCUUGGGUUGCAAAUCAGUUUGGUCAAGGACCUCUUCCGGUUCCUCCUUCAUCCAGAUCUCUGAGGCUCCCUUGCUCAGACCUGGUCAAAUGAUGCAAAUCCGAAAUCAUCCACUGGUACAAAAGUCUACGCGCUACAAGGAUUUCCACCAAGAGCAGAAGAGAGCAGUGAUGAUAACAUAGUGUUUUGGUGGCAAGCGAGUAGCUAUUACUGGAUCAUGGGACAAUUGGAAGACCAUGUACUGGAAUCUCUAUUAUGGUGUCUAUGUUUGAAGUUCCAUUCUUUAGCUUGAGCAGUUUUCUUUUCACAAUCUAAGUUGCAGUAACUUUUAUUUCUUCUCCUUUCAGAGAACCCUUGCACUCUUUGGGUAAAGAUUUCAUUAUCAUGAAGAUGCUCCCAUUUGGUGUUUACCACUACCAAUUCAUUGUAGAUGAGCUGAGGAGAUAUGUUCCAAACUUACCAUGCGAAUUUGAUGAGUCUGGGAAUGCUUAUAACAUUUUGGAUUUGCAGGAAACCAGCAGCAAACCAGCAUGCAGACCAACAUCCUAGCUGAACCAGAUAAGCAGCAGCAUUUUGUUUAUUUUGUUCAUUUGUAACUUGAUUUAGUUGCAAUGUAAUUUAUACUUAAAUUUAGUAGGAGUAGUUGUUAAUUUAUGUUUGAUGUUAUAGCUGGUAUGUCAGCCACAUUUUGUUUGUAAUUCUAUCUAGGCUUUGGGAGCAGUUAUACAUUAGUUAACUGCCAUAUUUCAUUGUAACAUAAA